GCUGUUCGGACAAGGCAGCUGACAGCUUAAAAUGUAUUUUACGCUGUUAUUACUUACAGUCAACACUAGUUAUCAAUAUAUUCAUAACAUGUCACAGGAGUUGGUCAAGAUGCCAUAUUUUCUCAUGUCUUUUCGAUAAAAGAUUGGCAUAGAUUGCAGGAACCUGAUGUUUUGGUUUAUGGUUCUCGUGGGGGCUAAUAGUUUGAACAUGGUGAUAUGUCUUUCAAAGACUGACAGUGUGG
rnacentral:lncRNA from 1 species